rnacentral:lncRNA from 1 species
CAAGCUAUCUGGGCCGUUGAUUCCUUUAUUGAAAGACCCAUCUGAGCACUUCAUUUCAUCUAAUCAAUUGACUCCUAGGCUGCCACGUGCUCCGCCUCAAUUGACUCAUUACACGUAUCCAACUUCCCAAUUCCACCUGGUAUCUAACAGAUAGGGUGUUGAUUAAUUCAGAAUUUCAGGAUCUUUAUUUGCAUUCUGAAGUAGAACAUUUGCCAAGAAAUGGCUCUGAUCAUGCUCCCUUACUCUUGUGUUGUAAGAAUAGUGCCAUCAACCAUUCAAAACCUUUCAGGUUUCUUAAUUUUUGGACCAAACAUGAAGAGUUUAAGAAUUUCGUUAGCCAAAAUUGGGAUGCAGAUGUCACAACAAAUUCUUUCUUAGAUUUUAAAAAGAAGAUUAAUAAGGUUCUUACAAUGUGGAGCAGACAAACUUAUGGAGAUAUUUUUCAACAGUUGAUUAUUAGAGAGGAGAUUGCUAGAAUCAAAGAGGAACUUUUUGAAGAAUUUCCUUCUACGGAAAAUAGAGAAGUGAUGCGAAGAGCUAAGGCUGAAUAUACUAAAUACUUCAUCUUGAAGAAAGCUAUUGGCAACAGAAAGCAGGGUAUGACUGGUUAGUUGAUGGAGAUAGAUACACCAGAUUUUUUCAUAGUCUGGUUAAAGGAAGAAGGCAAAGACUGAAACUGUUGAAAAUCCAGAAUUCUAAAGGUGACUGGUUGGAGGAUUCUAUGGAGAUAGCUGAAGAAGCUGUGCAAUUCUUUCAGAAACAAUUCAUGCAGGAAAGGGACUCCACGGAUCAUUCUCUCCUAGCUCAUGUCCCUGCACUGAUAAAUGAAGAGGAAAAUGCAACCCUAGGAGCCAUUCCUAACAGUGAGGAAGUGAAGAAUGCAGUGUUCAAGCUAAAUGGGGAUAGUGCUGGUGGACCGGUGGGCUUUCUGGAAAAUUUUAUCAAUCAUGUUGGGACAUUGUUGGUGCAGACUGCAGAUAUUGUAAGGACGGUUCGUGAUUUUUUUGCAGCAAACUCUCUUCCUAAAUCUAUUACUCAUACUAAUUUGGUCCUCAUACCAAAGAAGUCUAAUGUUCAAUCAUUUUCAGAUAUGAGGCCAAUUAGUUUGAGUAGUUUCGUUAAUAAGAUUUUUUCCAGUAUCAUUCAUGAUAGAUUACAAGAUAUACUACCUAAGAUCAUCUCUUCUAAUCAAUCCGGUUUUGUCAAGGGCAGAAGCAUUAUAGAAAAUGUACUACUGACUCAGGAAUUGAUUUCAUACAUUAGCAAGAGAGGAAAACCUUCAAAUGUUGUCAUUAAGCUAGAUAUGGCUAAAGCCUAUGACAGAGUAUCUUGUUUUUUUCUGAUGAAGAUUUUGAGGAAGAUGGGAUUCUCCAACAAAGUAGUUGAUUUGAUUUGGAGAUUGAUCACUAAUAACUAUUAUUCUGUGAUCAUUAAUGGGCAACCACAUGGAUUCUUUCAUUCUACUAGGGGAGUGAAGCAAGGAGAUCCUCUUUUCCCAGCUCUUUUUAUUCUAUCAGCUGAAGUUCUUACUAGGGCUCUUAAUUUAAUAAUGGCCAGUUUAUAAGAUAUGGAAUGCCUAAAUGGAGCCCUAAUCUGAAGUACAUUGCAUAUGUUGAUGACACAAUUAUCUUCUCUUCUACUAAUGAGUAUUCAUUGAAGAAAAUUAUGAGUACGUUACAGGAGUAUGAGAAACAAUCAGGCCAGAAGGUGAAUAAAGAGAAGAGUUUUUAUUACUUCAUCAGAACACAACUAGAAACAUCUCGGAAAGGGUGAAACAAUGUUUAGGCAUGAAUAGGGGAGAUUUUCCUAUGAAAUAUCUAGGAUGCCCUAUUAUUCAUUCUAUAAAGAGAAAAGAGCAUUAUGUUGAACUGAUUGACAAUGUUAAAGGGAAACUACAAGAUUGGAAAGGAAAGAUGUUGCCCGAUGGAGGCAAAGAAGUUCUUAUCACUAGUGUGCAUCAAAGUACUCCUAUUUACAUUCUUUCCGCAAUUUUUCCUCCUAUGUGUGUCAUUAAUGAGCUUCAUAGAAUAUUUGCAAAGUUCUUUUGGAUCAAUAAGGAAACAAGGAAGAGUAAACAUUGGUCCUCUUGGAAGAAAAUUUGUCGACCAAAGCAAGAAGGAGGGCUAGGAUUUAGAUCUAUGUUUGAAGUUUCUAAGGCUUUGUAUGAUAAACUUUGGUGGAGAUUCAGAACUCAAAAGAAUAUGUGGUCCAAUUUCUUUUGAAACAAGUAUUGUAAAAAAACAGAUCCCAACACUUAUGGAGUGGAAAGGAGGGUCACAAGUAUGGAAAUAUAUGUUAGAAAAUAGGGAUUUGUUGGAGCAAGCUAUCUGGUGGGAGCCUAAGGAUGGUACCUCUAGUAUUUGGUUUGAAAAUUGGACUAAUUUGGGUCCACUAUUCAAACAUCAGUCUGAAGGUCAUACUUGUCAUGUAAUGAGAGAUGUGGAAGAAUUCCUUAAUGAAGAGUGCUGGAAUUAUGAUGAAAUGCAAAACUAUGUGCCAGAACAUGUGGUAGAUCAUAUUAGGAAUAACAUGAGUCAGCUUAAACUUGUGAACCAAGGGGACAAGCCUUGGUGGACGGUUACCAGCAAUGGGAAGUUUAGUGUUAAAGUGCCUGGGAGCUUUUAAGAGUGAAAGAGAAUGCCUCUGAUGACUUGAAACAUUUGUGGUGUAAAGGAAUUCCUUUCAAGUUAUCUUUCUUAGCCUAGAGGAUUUGGAAAGGACAGGUGUCAGUGGCACAACUUAUGCAUGCUUGGAAUCCUAAUGUUUCUCCAUUGUGCAGGUGCUGCAAUAUUCAAGAAAUUGAAUCUAUAGAACACCUCUUUCUAAGUGGAGAAAUUGCUCAAAGCAUUUGGCAAUAUUUUUCUAAUGCAACUAGUCACCAUCAUUCUGUUUUUUGAAGCGAAACAUCAGACAGUGGUGGAGCUUGGAUGGCAACCAAAGAAUGAAAGAGAUGCAUCAGGUGACACCCAUUGUUAUCCUAUGGUUUUUAUGGAAAAGAAGGAAUAUUGUGCUACAUGGUGGUAACUUCUCCAUUGAAAAAUUAAUCAUGGAGAUUACAGAUUCAAUAAGGAAGUUUUUGAAAAUCAGAUUAAAGGUAUCUUGUGAAGGAAAAAACUGGGCAGAAAUGGUUGAAGUUGUGGAAAAACACAGACCUUCCUUCAGUUUUAAGAUAGUAAGGUGGAUUCACCCUCCCGUUCGCUGGUUUAAAUGCAAUACAAAUGGAGCUUCUAGGGGUAACCCUGGCCCUAGUUCAACUGCUUUCUGUAUAAGAGAUUUUAAGGGAGAUUUUGUGGUGGCUAAGGGAGUGAGAAUUCAAGAUACCACUAAUUUAGUGGUUGAGGCUAGAGCUAUUAGAGAAGGGUUGUCCUACUGCAGAGAUAAUUAUAUCAACAAUGUUAUUAUAUAAUCUGAUUCUAUGGCUCUUGUUCACAUUUUAGAGGGAAGUUGGGAGAUCCCUUGGAGUGUAUCAACGGAGGUGGAGUGUAUUAACAACAUCAGGACCUUAAUUACAAUAAGAGUACAACACUCCCUUAGGGAGGGAAAUACUCUUGCGGACUUUUUUGCUAACCUUGUUUUCUGUUUUGCAGGUGAUUUUCAGAUUAGUCAUUAUCAGGAUAUACCAAGUACAGGAAGAAGGAUCAUAAAUCUAGAUAAAAGAGGUACCCCGCAAAUAAGGAGAUUUCCAACAACAAGUAACAUCUAGUGGUGUAAUAUGGUAUGCAGGUUUCAAUUUGUUCUAGAAUGUAAUCUCAGUUCAGCCUAGAUUGAUACUCAAGACUGAAAAAAUAACUCUUUUGAUUUGAUUAUCCGCACCUGUGAGAGUUUUGGGUGUUUCACCGAUAACGAAUCAGGUCAUGAGUGUUUCUAGACCUUUUACUGUUGUUAAGUGGUUCUGAAAAUGUCAUUUAACCUGCAUCAAGUAUAAGAUAGUCAUGCAUCUCUAAGUGGCUAACCUAAC